CCUUCAAACUAGAUCAGCAGCUCCGACUCCUCCCUGGGUCUCCAGCUACACAAUCCUCAGACAUGAACAAUAAUAGCACCGGCUCCUCCUUGGGUCUCCAGCUUCACUACCCUCAGACUAGAACAGCAACACCAGUUCCUCCCUGGGUCUCCAGCUCUACAAUCCUCAGACAUAAACAGCAGAAGCACCAGCUCCUACCCUUGUCUCCACUUCCACGACCCUCAAACUACAACAGCAGUACCGGCCUCUCCCCAGGUCUCCAGAUCCAUGACCCUCAAAAUAGAAUGGCAUCAUCGGAUCCCUCCUGGGUCUCCAGCUCCCAAACCCUCAAACUUCAAUUGACACACCGGAUGCUCCCCACAGUUAAACAGCAGCACGGGCCGUUCCCAAAAGCUCCAGAUCCACGACCCUCUGACUUAAAUGGCAGUAGCACCGGCUCCUCCCUAGGUCCACAACUCCACCACCCUCAUACGAGACACCAAGACUACCUCCUCCCCGCUCUCCAGCUACACGACCCUCAGUCUUGAACAGCAGCAGCUCCUCCCUGUGCCUCAAGCCCCAUGACCCUCAGACUUGAACAAGAACAACACCAUCUCCCCCCAGGGCUCCAGCUCGGGGACCCACAGAUUUAAACAGCAGCACCGGCUCUUCCUGUGAUCUCCAGCUCCACUAACCUCAAACUAGAAUAGCAGCACCAGCUCCUCCUUUGGUCUCCAGCUUCACUACCGUCAGGCUAGAACAGCAACACCGGUUCCUCCCUGGGUCUCCAGCUCAAUGACUCUCAGAUUUGAAAGGCAGCA
rnacentral:lncRNA from 1 species